UUGAUUUCAAAUACAGUAACACCUGGCGCCGUGACCUGGAUGCAGAUUCUAAGCAGAUGGGCCAAAAUGGGGGCAACUGGAGAGACUCGCCCAGAACUGACAAGCCUGGAGGAAGCUGGUUGACUGUUGGCGAUAUGGGACAACAGACGAAGAAUAAACGAACCUACUUGAUUUGAUAAACAUUUUUAUGUUUUUCAGUUUCGUCGGAAGACGUUUCCCAACAACCAUCCUGUCUUGAAAGAAAUAACUUUUGAACUCGAUUUUCUGAUAUUUUCCAGUUUCCCCUCACAACAAUAUGCAUCAAACCUCUUGUCUGUUUGGCAGACAAAACAUGCUGAUCAAAAAGAAUGUGUACCACAGUGGCCAGUGUUUCCAUUUGAGUGAUUGACAAGAAGAAGAGAUGAGAAAUGUUAUCAUCAUAUUUUAGUCUCUACAUUUAUAGUGUACAGCUCAAUGUAUUGAAUUAAAUUUCUUAAAUAACGAUUUAGAUUUCAAAUCUUUGCGUAAAGUUACGCAUUGAAAAAAUAAAACACGAAAUCGAAAUUUUCGAACGUACGUAAAACUUCCAGUAGCAAAUUAUGUAUGGUAAACAUUUCAUCCCGGUUCUGGCUCGUCUAUGCGCUCAAUUAAAACUACAACUGUAAAUCAACGUCACUCAAGCUUUUGUUGUGAGGAAGAGCCACACCUAAGAACGGUCGAAAGGCCAAACGGUCUGGA